rnacentral:rRNA from 1 species
GACGAACGCUGGCGGCGUGCUUAACACAUGCAAGUCGAACGGAAAGGCCCUGCUUUUGUGGGGUGCUCGAGUGGCGAAUGGGUGAGUAACACGUGAGUAACCUGCCCUUGACUUUGGGAUAACUUCAGGAAACUGGGGCUAAUACCGGAUAGGAGCUCCUGCUGCAUGGUGGGGGUUGGAAAGUUUCGGCGGUUGGGGAUGGACUCGCGGCUUAUCAGCUUGUUGGUGGGGUAGUGGCUUACCAAGGCUUUGACGGGUAGCCGGCCUGAGAGGGUGACCGGCCACAUUGGGACUGAGAUACGGCCCAGACUCCUACGGGAGGCAGCAGUGGGAAAUAUUGCACAAUGGGCGGAAGCCUGAUGCAGCAACGCCGCGUGCGGGAUGACGGCCUUCGGGUUGUAAACCGCUUUCGCCUGUGACGAAGCGUGAGUGACGGUAAUGGGUAAAGAAGCACCGGCUAACUACGUG